CGCCAUGUUUCCGUCGAGGUCGCGCCUUUAGGCUCGCAGCGCGGUCGCUUUUGCUGCCCCUGGGGCUUCCUGGACUCUGGGACUCUGCUGAGCACUGGGGUCCCCAGGCAGUAGCCCUCGCUUUGCAUAAGCCCACACCUCCGUGGCUGGCAGCGGCCCCUCUGCUGUAGCUGCCUGGACAUCUGCAUGACGCCCGCCAGCCUAGCUGCCGCUGGAUUUUGGUUGCUGACCUUGCAAGGUUGAGAAGGAAUGUAAACACGCAAGCGGGAUUGAGGCGCUUGCCCCCCAUCGAAGGAAGUUCAGGAGUAGCAGAGAAUUGGAAUUCGACACACACAAGCCAUGGCAAAACCACAG